UACGGGGGGGGCAAGCGUUGUUCGGAAUUACUGGGCGUAAAGGGCUUGUAGGUGGCCAACUAAGUCCGACGUGAAAUCCCUAGGCUUAACCUAGGAACUGCGUCGGAUACUGGAUGGCUUGAAUCCGGGAGAGGGAUGCGGAAUUCCAGGUGUAGCGGUGAAAUGCGUAGAGAUCGGGAGGAAGGCCGGUGGCGAAGGCGGCGCUCUGGAACAUUUCUGACGCUGAGGCUCGAAAGCGUGGGGAGCAAACAGG
rnacentral:rRNA from 1 species